rnacentral:rRNA from 1 species
ACGAACGCUGGCGGCGUGCUUAACACAUGCAAGUCGAGCGGUAAGGCCCUUUCGGGGGUACACGAGCGGCGAACGGGUGAGUAACACGUGGGUGACCUGCCUCUAGCUCUGGGAUAAGCCCGGGAAACUGGGUCUAAUACUGGAUAUGACUCCAUGACGCAUGUUGGUGGGGUGGAAAGCCUUGUGCGGCUAGAGAUGGGCCCGCGGCCUAUCAGCUUGUUGGUGGGGUGAGGCCUACCAAGGCGACGACGGGUAGCCGGCCUGAGAGGGCGACCGGCCACACUGGGACUGAGACACGGCCCAGACUCCUACGGGAGGCAGCAGUGGGGAAUCUUGCGCAAGUGGGCGAAAGCCUGACGCAGCGACGCCGCGUGAGGGAUGACGGCCU